rnacentral:rRNA from 2 species
UGGGGAAUUUUGGACAAUGGGCGAAAGCCUGAUCCAGCAAUGCCGCGUGUGUGAAGAAGGCCUUCGGGUUGUAAAGCACUUUUGUCCGGAAAGAAAUGGCUCUGGUUAAUACCUGGGGUCGAUGACGGUACCGGAAGAAUAAGGACCGGCUAACUACGUGCCAGCAGCCGCGGUAAUACGUAGGGUCCAAGCGUUAAUCGGAAUUACUGGGCGUAAAGCGUGCGCAGGCGGUUGUGCAAGACCGAUGUGAAAUCCCCGAGCUUAACUUGGGAAUUGCAGUGGUGACUGCACGGCUAGAGUGUGUCAGAGGGGGGUAGAAUUCCACGUGUAGCAGUGAAAUGCGUAGAGAUGUGGAGGAAUACCGAUGGCGAAGGCAGCCCCCUGGGAUAACACUGACGCUCAUGCACGAAAGCGUGGGGAGCAAACAGG